CGUCAGGAGCUGUGGAUUGAGGACUGACAAACCCCGCCAGGGCAGGAAUGCAGCAACGGUAGUCUGAUUCGCUUUGCCGCAGUUUCCUGGCGGGC
rnacentral:SRP_RNA from 1 species